rnacentral:rRNA from 1 species
UACGAAGGGGGCUAGCGUUGCUCGGAAUCACUGGGCGUAAAGGGUGCGUAGGCGGGUCUUAAGUCAGGGGUGAAAUCCUGGAGCUCAACUCCAGAACUGCCUUUGAUACUGAAGAUCUUGAGUUUCGGGAGAGGGUGAGUGGAACUGCGAGUGUAGAGGUGAAAUUCGUAGAUAUUUCGCAAGAACACCAGUGGCGAAGGCGGCUCACUGGCCCGAUACUGACGCUGAGGCACGAAAGCGUGGGGAGCAAACAGG